UGCUUGUGCCUCCUCAAUUGCUAACAUGACUACUAUUUUUUUCCUCAGGAAAAAAAAACACAAAUAACCCUUACUAGAUAGCAAAGAAUUCCCUAUGGCAAGACUGAUAGCAGUGCUAGGAACUGCUCUUUCUUGCUUUACUGUGGCUAGCUUAUCUCAGAUCACUGGGAGUGCUAACCAAAGUCCUUGCUUUGGAGACUGGUUAACCAUUAAGGUUCCUGAAGAACAUACAGUGAAAAAUGGUUUCCUGCCCAAAAAAGGCAAGAAGAAAGAAAGUUGAUGUCCUCAGUUCUCAAACCUGUCUCUUCAUCAUCACCAUUAGCAGAGCAGUUUUCAAAUACAGCUCAGAAUUCUGACACUGCUCCCAUCAGGAGUAAUUUUAAUUUGGACCUGUCGUGCUUCAGUCAAUAAAAUACGACAGUCACAUUGCUUUUUUAAUUUUUUUUUUUUUUUUGCCAGUCUUGGGGCUUGGGGUGAACUCAGGGCCUCUACUACUGAGCCACAGUGCCACUUCUGGCCUUUUCUGUUUAUGUGGUGUUGAUGAACCAAACCCAGGGCUUCAUGUAGGCUAGGCAAGCACAUUGCCACUAAGCCACAUGCCCAGCCGGACACAUUGCUUUUGAAGUUUCAAGGCGCAGACUGAGAAAGCCAUGAAGCAUCCAUGUGGUUACCUUGAGGCUAUCAUUCUGGAAGAUGCCACACACGCAACCACAGGCAGGAUGAAAAUGCCACCUCAUCCCCCAGCCAAGGGCUAAUCACAACUGCCAGGCACAGGGACAUCACUGCCCCCGCAGAUGACCACAGUCCCAGCUGACACCUGAGUCAAACCACAGGCAUUCUCUCAAGCAGAUCUACCCAGCUGGGCUCCAACUAAUCCUUCCUAAACCCUGGACUCACAAACUAGGUCACAUAAAACAACUGUGGGACUCAGGGGUCAUUUGUUUUUAUACAGAAAUCAAAACAAUGAAGAGGUUGGGUGUCAUGACACAUGCUUGUAAUUCCAUCACUCGGGAGGCUAAGAGAGGAGGAUUGUGAGUUUCAGGCCAAUCUGGGCUACAUAGUGAGA